rnacentral:rRNA from 1 species
GAUGAACGCUGGCGGCGCGCCUAACACAUGCAAGUCGAACGGGAACAUCCGUAGCAAUAUGGGUGUUUUAGUGGCGGACGGGUGAGUAACGCGUGAGGAACCUGCCUUUCGGAGGGGAAUAACACAUCGAAAGAUGUGCUAAUACCGCAUAAUGUCAUCGGGUGGCAUCGCCUGAUGACCAAAAGAGCAAUCUGCCGAAAGAUGGCCUCGCGUCCGAUUAGAUAGUUGGUGAGGUAACGGCCCACCAAGUCUGCGAUCGGUAGCCGGACUGAGAGGUUGAACGGCCACAUUGGGACUGAGACACGGCCCAGACUCCUACGGGAGGCAGCAGUGGGGGAUAUUGCGCAAUGGGGGCAACCCUGACGCAGCAACGCCGCGUGAGUGAGGAAGGUUUUCGGACUGUAAAGCUCUGUCGAGCGGGAAGAAGUGUACCAUGGCUAAUAUCCAUGAUAUUUGACGGUACCGCUAGAGGAAGCACCGGCUAACUCCG